UACGGAGGAUGCAAGCGUUAUCCGGAUUUAUUGGGUUUAAAGGGUGCGUAGGCGGAUAUGUAAGUCAGCGGUGAAACUCACAGGCUCAACCUGUGCCGUGCCGUUGAAACUGUGUAUCUGGAAUGCGGACCCUGCUGUGGGAGGAAUGUGUAGUGUAGCGGUGAAAUGCAUAGAUAUUACACAGAACACCGAUUGCGAAGGCAUCUCACAAAGCCGUUAUUGACGCUGAGGCACGAAAGUGUGGGGAUCAAA
rnacentral:rRNA from 1 species